rnacentral:rRNA from 1 species
UGAGCGCUGGCGGCGUGCCUAAUACAUGCAAGUCGAGCGAACGGACGAGAAGCUUGCUUCUCUGAUGUUAGCGGCGGACGGGUGAGUAACACGUGGAUAACCUACCUAUAAGACUGGGAUAACUUCGGGAAACCGGAGCUAAUACCGGAUAAUAUUUUGAACCGCAUGGUUCAAAAGUGAAAGACGGUCUUGCUGUCACUUAUAGAUGGAUCCGCGCUGCAUUAGCUAGUUGGUAAGGUAACGGCUUACCAAGGCAACGAUGCAUAGCCGACCUGAGAGGGUGAUCGGCCGCACUGGAACUGAGACACGGUCCAGACUCCUACGGGAGGCAGCAGUAGGGAAUCUUCCGCAAUGGGCGAAAGCCUGACGGAGCAACGCCGCGUGAGUGAUGAAGGUCUUCGGAUCGUAAAACUCUGUUAUUAGGGAAGAACAUAUGUGUAAGUAACUGUGCACAUCUUGACGGUACCUAAUCAGAAAGCCACGGCUAACUACGUG